rnacentral:rRNA from 1 species
AGUGAACGCUGGCGGUAGGCCUAACACAUGCAAGUCGAACGGCAGCACAGGGGGGCUUGCUCUCGGGGUGGCGAGUGGCGGACGGGUGAGGAAUACAUCGGACUCUACUCUGUCGUGGGGGAUAACGUGGGGAAGGUAACGCAAAUACCGCAUACGACCUACGCGUGAGAGCAGGAGAUCCUCGGACCUCGCGCUAUUGCAUGACCAGAUGUCGGAUUAGCUAGUUGGCGGGGGAAAGGCCCACCAAGGCGACGAUCCGUAGCUGGUCUGAGAGGAUGAGCAGCCACACUGGAACUGAGACACGGUCCAGACUCCUACGGGAGGCAGCAGUGGGGAAUAUUAGACAAUGGGCGCAAGCCUGAUCCAGCCAUACCGCGUGGGUGAAGAAGGCCUUCGGGUUGUAAAGCCCUUUUGUUGGGAAAGAAAUCCAGCUGGCUAAUACCCGGUUGGGAUGACGGUACCCAAAGAAUAAGCACCGGCUAACUUCGUGCCAGCCGCCGCAGUAA